rnacentral:rRNA from 1 species
CUCCAAUAGCGUAUAUUAAAGUUGUUGCGGUUAAAAAGCUCGUAGUUGGAUUUCUGCUGAGGAUGACCGGUCCGCCUCCGGGUGAGUAUCUGGCUCAGCCUUGGCAUCUUCCUGAAGAACGUAACUGCACUUGACUGUGUGGUGCGGUAUUUAGGACAUUUACUUGAGGAAAUUAGAGUGUUUCAAGCAAGCGCACGCCU